ACGAACGCUGGCGGCGUGCUUAACACAUGCAAGUCGAACGGUGAAGCGCCUUCCUUUUUGGUGGGUGUGGAUGAGUGGCGAACGGGUGAGUAACACGUGAGUAACCUGCCCCCUUCUUCUGGAUAACCGCAUGAAAGUGUGGCUAAUACGGGAUAUUCUGGGUCUGUCGCAUGAUGGGUCUGGGAAAGAUAUUGUUUCGGUGGGGGAUGGGCUCGCGGCCUAUCAGCUUGUUGGUGGGGUGAUGGCCUACCAAGGCGGUGACGGGUAGCCGGCCUGAGAGGGUGGGGGGGGUGCCAGGGAAGAUGAGACGGGGCCAAAACCUACGGGAGGGGAGCAGGGGGGGAAUACUGCAGAGGGGGCGGAAGCGUAUGGCGGGCAGCCAGCGGGGGGGGGGGGGGUUUGCGUGUUGUCGCCCUCUUGCGGCAGGAAAGCGCGUGUUGCGUUUUUGGGUGCGUGUCGGGGAUCGCGAGAUGAGGGGCCGGUUAAAUGUGA
rnacentral:rRNA from 1 species